GCCUGGCUGGCUCAGUCGGUAGAGCAAGCGACUCCUGAUCUCAGGGUGUGGGUUCGAGCCCCAUGUUGGGUG